GUAUUGUGACUGUCUGUAGGAGAGAUGGGUUUCUUAAUAAGUAUAGUAAGUGAUUAAUCGGUCUUCUGAGAAUCAUGGAGUCAAUGCUAAUUAUUACCCAGCUGGGGAUCUGUGAUGACACAGACAGUCUGCCUUUUCCAGCAGGAAGCAGUGGAUGCUACCAAAGUUGUGCUGCUGAUACCUCAAGCUGCUUCAGCACCCUCAUUCUGUGAACAAGUUCUCCUUGUCCGCCAAAAUGAGACAUGAUGUAGAUGUCCCUGCUGGAAGUAGCCUUUCUGUCAGAAAAUUGCCAUCUGGGGACUUCAGAAAUUCUGGCGGACUGAAAUUUCCACUUCUUACCGUUCAGAACAAGCUGCCUCACAUGAUAAGUGCAGGGGUAACCCACCUGGUUGAUCGAGGGAAGCUGGUUGAUGUAAUAUUUUUGGACCUCAGUAAAGCUUUCAGUACUGCCUCUCCCAGGAGGAUCUUUCUGGACAAACUUUCCUGCCCACAGCUGGAUAAACACAUCCUGUGAUGGCACAGCAGCAGCACCACCAGGCUGAAAGAGAAACCCUGCAGGGACAAGCCUCUCUCUGAAGUUCACAGCACACAAUACCGUGGCCACCUGGC